rnacentral:rRNA from 1 species
UACGGGGGGGCAAGCGUUGUUCGGAAUUACUGGGCGUAAAGGGCUCGUAGGUGGCCAACUAAGUCAGACGUGAAAUCCCUCGGCUUAACCGGGGAACUGCGUCUGAUACUGGAUGGCUUGAGAUUGGGAGAGGGAUGCGGAAUUCCAGGUGUAGCGGUGAAAUGCGCAGAUAUCAGGAGGAACACCGGUGGCGAAGGCGGGUCUCUGGGCCGAUACUGACGCUGAGGAGCGAAAGCGUGGGGAGCGAACAGG